UGUCGGGUCUUGUUUUUGCUCAUCAGAUAGAAGGAUGGAGGAUAGAGUCCAGAACCUGAGUUUCUCAGCCGUCAAAGUGUCAGAGCAGUCAGGAUUUCUGUGUCAUGUCAGGAACUGUUCGUGGCAAGCCUGGUCUUGGUGCUCCCUCACUGAUACCUUGCGACGUGGAAGCUAUGCAGUUCAAUUGUCCCUAAAGGCUGUCUUUUAGUGGCGUGAAGGACAAAUGGUUCACCCUAAGGCAAGACACACUCUCACACAUACCCACUGUCAGUCACCCACCCACACACUCAAUUAAGUUUUUUACUUCAGUAUGCUGAUAAGUUUGUCCCACACUCUCUCUCUCUUUCUGAUAUAUGCAGUCUCCCAGUACCCAAAAGGUUUUACGGUUUGUCUUUCCCAGAGGUUCUGUUCCUCUUAGCAAGGCGCAAACUAGCUAAUUAAAAUGUUCUGGAAUAGGCCAAAAGCAGAGGCUCAACAAGAUGUUAUGGCAGGAUAAUGCUGUUUAAAGGGCAUGUGGAAUUUAAAGAUCCCAGCGUGAAGCUCACAUCACAUCUAGCAAGAUGCUGGCAGGGGAAAAGCCACAGGCACCAGCAAGGAGGUGUGGAUCUACUUUGAGCUGGAUAGCAGUGGAAAAAACAAUUUUUUUUCACCCAGUCGGAAGGGUGUUUCGACAAAAUGUCUGGAGCUUUGAACGCUGUGGGAGAACGGAGGUGUGCUAUUCAUCAAAGGUUUUAUCAAGCACGAAGACUCAGACUUCAUUCCCCUAA
rnacentral:lncRNA from 1 species